CUUCAGCCAGAUUUCACAAUUGAAAAUAGGAACAUUGUCAUUAUAUGUUAUUUUUAAUCGGAGUAAUGGCAUUUUUAACAGCUAACAGGUUUCUUAUAUUAGUGCUUUUCCCCUUCCAGGCUGUCGCGUUUGGGAAUGAUUGUGGAGGUGAUUCGAAUUGUUAUCGACAGACUUCACAGUCCAGUCUGGAGAAACGACUCAGUCAAAGCCCUAAGUCCCUAACUGAAUUU